CACGUAGGGCGCGAGCGUUGUCCGGAAUUAUUGGGCGUAAAGAGCUCGUAGGCGGCCUGUUGCGUCCGCUGUGAAAGCCCGGGGCUUAACCCCGGGUCGCAGUGGAUACGGGCAGGCUAGAGGUAGGUAGGGGAGAAUGGAAUUCCCGGUGUAGCGGUGAAAUGCGCAGAUAUCGGGAGGAACACCGGUGGCGAAGGCGGUUCUCUGGGCUCUACCUGACGCUGAGGCGCGAAAGCGUGGGGAGCGAACCGG
rnacentral:rRNA from 1 species